rnacentral:rRNA from 1 species
GUGCCAGCAGCCGCGGUAAUACGGAGGGUGCAAGCGUUAAUCGGAAUUACUGGGCGUAAAGCGCGCGUAGGUGGCUUGAUAAGCCGGUUGUGAAAGCCCCGGGCUCAACCUGGGAACGGCAUCCGGAACUGUCAGGCUAGAGUGCAGGAGAGGAAGGUAGAAUUCCCGGUGUAGCGGUGAAAUGCGUAGAGAUCGGGAGGAAUACCAGUGGCGAAGGCGGCCUUCUGGACUGACACUGACACUGAGGUGCGAAAGCGUGGGUAGCAAACAGGAUUAGAUACCCUGGUAGUCCACGCCGUAAACGAUGUCGACCAGCCGUGGGUGCCUAGAGCACUUUGUGGCCGAAGUUAACGCGAUAAGUUCGACCGCCUGGGGAGUACGGCCCGCAAGGUUAAAACUCAAAUGAAUUGACGG